ACAGCUUUGUCAGAGGGGAGUAACUUGUUUAACGUUUAUCGUUAAAAACGUUUUGUCGUCAUUACGAAGAAUUAUCUUCCGGUAAAACGGGCAAUAUUUUUGCU
rnacentral:sRNA from 1 species